AGUGAACGCUGGCGGUAGGCCUAACACAUGCAAGUCGAACGGCAGCACAGUAAGAGCUUGCUCUUACGGGUGGCGAGUGGCGGACGGGUGAGGAAUACAUCGGAAUCUACUUUUUCGUGGGGGAUAACGUAGGGAAACUUACGCUAAUACCGCAUACGACCUACGGGUGAAAGCAGGGGAUCUUCGGACCUUGCGCGAUUGAAUGAGCCGAUGUCGGAUUAGCUAGUUGGCGGGGUAAAGGCCCACCAAGGCGACGAUCCGUAGCUGGUCUGAGAGGGUGAACAGCCACACUGGAACUGAGACACGGUCCAGACUCCUACGGGAGGCAGCAGUGGGGAAUAUUGGACAAUGGGCGCAAGCCUGAUCCAGCCAUACCGCGUGGGUGAAGAAGGCCUUCGGGUUGUAAAGCCCUUUUGUUGGGAAAGAAAAGCAGCAGGUUAAUACCCCGCUGUUCUGACGGUACCCAAAGAAUAAGCACCGGCUAACUUCGUG
rnacentral:rRNA from 1 species